GGGAGCACCAGUAACAGAGGUUCGACUCUGGCUCAGAUUGAACGCUGGCGGGAUGCUUACACAUGCAAGUCGAACGGCAGCAAUGGACUUCGGUCUGGUGGCGAGUGGCGAACGGGUGAGUAAUGUAUCGGAACGUGCCUAGUAGCGGGGAUAACUACGCGAAAGCGUAGCUAAUACCGCAUACGCCCCCGGGGGAAAGUGGGGACCUUCGGGCUCCCUGCACUAUUAGAGCGGCCACAAUGGAUUGGCCAGUUGCGGGGUAACGGCUCACCAAGGCGACGAUCCGUAGCUGGUUUGAGAGGACGACCAGCUACACUGGGACCGAGACACGGCCCAGACUCCUACGGGAGGCAGUGGGAAUUUUUGACAAUGGGGAAACCCUGAUCCAGCUAUCCGGGUGCAGGCGAUGAAGGCCUUUGGGUUGUAAAGCACUUUUUGGCAGGAAAGAAACGGCACGGGAUAAUACCCCGUGCAACUGACGGUACCUGCAGAAUAAGCACUGGCCAACUACAGCCAGCAGCCGCGGUAAUAAUGUAGUGCGUUAAUCGGAAUUACUGGGCGUAAAAGCGUGCGCAGGCGGUUCGCACAGAUGAGAAUCCCAGAGCUUAACUUUGAACUGCAUUUUUAACUACUGAGCUAGAGUGUGUCAGAGGGAGGUGGAAUUCCGCGUGUAGCAGUGGAAAUGCGUAGGAUAUGCGGAGGAACACUGAUGGCGAAGGCAGCCUCCCGAUAACACUGACGCUCAUGCACGAAAAGCGUGGGGAGCAACAGGAUUAGAUACUCCUGGUAGUCCACGCUCCAAACGAUGUCAACUAGCUGCUGGGGCCUUUCGGCCUGUAGCGCAGCUUAACGCGUGAAGUUGACCGCCUGGGGAGUACGGUCGCAAGAUUAAAACUCAAAGGAAUUCGACGGGGACCCGCACAAGCGGUGGAUGAUGUGGAUUAAUUCGAUGCAACGCGAAAACCUUACCUACCCUUGACAUGUUCGGAACUCGAAGAGAUUUGGGAGAGUGCCUAUAAACUGAACACAGGUGCUGCAUGGUAUCGUCAGCUCGUGUCGUGAGAUGUUGGCUAAGUCCCGCAACGAGCAAACCCUUGUCAUUAGUUGCUACGAAAGGGCACUCUAUCGAUCGCUGGUGACAAACCGGAGGAAGGUGGGGAUGACGUCAAGUCCUCAUGGCCUCUUAUGGGUAGGGGCUUCUACACGUCAUACAAUGGUCGGGACAGAGGGUCGCCAACCCGCGAGGGGGAGCUAAUCCCAGAAACCUGAUCGUAGUCCGGAUCGCAGUCUGCAACUCGGACUGCGUGUCGGAAUCGCUAGUAAUCGCGGAUCAGCAUGUCGCGUGAACACGCUCCCGGGGUCUUGCAUACACCAGCCCGUCACACUACGGGAGUGGGUUUUACCAGAGUAGUUAGCCUAACUGUAAGGAGGGCGAUUACCACGGUAGGAUCUGCGACUGGGGGUGAAGUCGCAACAAGGU
rnacentral:rRNA from 1 species